AGAGUUUGAUCCUGGCUCAGGAUGAACGCUGGCGGCGUGCCUAACACAUGCAAGUCGAACGGUUAAACCGCCCUCGGGCGGACAUACAGUGGCGAACGGGUGAGUAACACGUGACCAACCUGCCCCGCGCUCCGGGACAACCGCUGGAAACGGCGGCUAAUACCGGAUACUCCGCGGCCCCCGCAUGGGGGCGGCGGGAAAGCCCCGACGGCGCGGGAUGGGGUCGCGGCCCAUUAGGUAGUAGGCGGGGUAGAGGCCCACCUAGCCGACGAUGGGUAGCCGGACUGAGAGGUCGAUCGGCCACAUUGGGACUGAGAUACGGCCCAGACUCCUACGGGAGGCAGCAGUGGGGAAUUUUGCGCAAUGGGGGAAACCCUGACGCAGCAACGCCGCGUGCGGGACGAAGGCCCUCGGGUCGUAAACCGCUUUCAGCAGGGAAGACCACGACGGUACCUGCAGAAGAAGCUCCGGCUAACUACGUGCCAGCAGCCGCGGUAAUACGUAGGGGGCGAGCGUUAUCCGGAUUCAUUGGGCGUAAAGCGCGCGUAGGCGGCCGCCUAAGCGGAACCUCUAACCCCGGGGCUCAACCUCGGGCCGGGUUCCGGACUGGGCGGCUCGAGUGCGGUAGAGGAGAGCGGAAUUCCCGGUGUAGCGGUGGAAUGCGCAGAUAUCGGGAAGAACACCGAUGGCGAAGGCAGCUCUCUGGGCCGUCACUGACGCUGAGGCGCGAAAGCUGGGGGAGCGAACAGGAUUAGAUACCCUGGUAGUCCCAGCCGUAAACGAUGGAUACUAGGUGUGGGGGGAUCCCCCCUCCGUGCCGCAGCCAACGCAUUAAGUAUCCCGCCUGGGGAGUACGGCCGCAAGGCUAAAACUCAAAGGAAUUGACGGGGGCCCGCACAAGCAGCGGAGCAUGUGGCUUAAUUCGAAGCAACGCGAAGAACCUUACCAGGGCUUGACAUGCGCCUGAAGCCGCGGAGACGCGGUGGCCGAGAGGAGGGCGCGCAGGUGGUGCAUGGCUGUCGUCAGCUCGUGUCGUGAGAUGUUGGGUUAAGUCCCGCAACGAGCGCAACCCCCGUCCCGUGUUGCCAGCAUUAGGUUGGGGACUCGCGGGAGACUGCCGGCGUCAAGCCGGAGGAAGGUGGGGACGACGUCAAGUCAUCAUGCCCCUUAUGCCCUGGGCUGCACACGUGCUACAAUGGCCGGUACAGAGGGUUGCCACCCCGCGAGGGGGAGCGGAUCCCGGAAAGCCGGCCCCAGUUCGGAUCGCAGGCUGCAACCCGCCUGCGUGAAGCCGGAGUUGCUAGUAAUCGCGGAUCAGCACGCCGCGGUGAAUACGUUCCCGGGCCUUGCACACACCGCCCGUCAAG
rnacentral:rRNA from 1 species